rnacentral:lncRNA from 1 species
UGCGACAUGGAUGCGAAUGUGGCUGCCUGACACAGAUUUGGUGGCAGGAGCAUCAUCAACCUGAACAAUGCAUCUCUGGCUUUCUAGUACACAGGAGGUUUUGGAUGCCACAUCUCUCUUCCUUCCAGCGGUCCAUCCAGGACUUUUAGAAACCUCUUCAGAGGGACAGACUUGGUGUGUGAAUCCCAACAGGGACAAGGAGAAAGAGUGACAGCUGAUGUCAGGUAUGUAUACAUGCAUGUGCCAUGGGACACAUGUGGAGGUCACCUUCUAGGACUCUGUGUUCUCCUUCAACCUUGUGGUGUUGGGGAUGGAAGUCAGACCCUAAAGCUUGACAGAUGAGUUUUCAGCAAAUACUUAUGUAUGAGGCCCUCUAAAGAAUACAAGAAAAGAAACAUGGAAAAAAUCCAGACUUCUGAGUAAUUGUAGAUAUUAAAGUAAUGAAAUACUUAUUUUUGGAGAGGCCUAAGAAGGUUCGUGUGUUGAUCAUAUGAUCAUCCUGAUCAUAAUAGGGGCUGAGACCUUUGGGAGAUACAGGGAAGAAGAAAGGCCAAGUGAGGACAUAUCCAAAAGAAGAUCAUCUGCAGAAACCAACAUUUCCAACACCUUAGUCAUACUUUACAGAUGUCAGGCCUGUAAGAGAUUUACUGUCUGUUGAAUAAAACCCCCUGACUGGUAUUAUAUGUAAUCAUCUGAAUGCUGUCCUGAGAUCUUCAUGGUACAGCAUGUCAGCCAUUCCAUCUGACUACCGCAGCCUACUGCAACUGACUCAUCAUGACCUUAGGAGGAGGAAUGUCUUUAAGGUAUUAUAUAAGUAGAUGAAUCAUAAUGCAUCCAGAACCCUUAAAAGAAAAUCCUACAAGCUUCAGAAGGAGAAGGAACCCUAAGUCACUGGAUGCGUGUAAGAAAAGAAGCUGUCAUCCAAGUCUGGAGAUAAAAUAAUUUUGAAUUUGGCAUCUUAUAUCCAGAACAACACUCAUUUAUGUAUGAGAAUGUGAUUUAAAAAAGGCUUUUUGGACCUGCUAAGCUCUGAGGGAUUACCGUUUACAAGUGCUCUGUGACAGACCGCACUAAGGGUAUGCUGCAGCAAUUGGAAACCUGGGUCAGAAAUGAGUAACAUCUCUCAUUGAGUUGUAAGAACAUCAAUGAGUUGUAAGAAUCGAUAGGUAAAUAAACCAAUGAAACAUGGAACACAAAUGCUUUCUCUGCACUCUGACAAAGCUGCUCUAAACAGAAGGACAAAUGUCUCUAGAAAGGCCCAGAAUCCACAUGGUAGUUCCCAACCAUUUAUAACUGUAGUUCCAGACAGUCUGACUUCCUCUGCUGACCUCCAAGGACAUCAGGCACACAUGUGGUACACAGACCUCCUGCAGACAGCUCCUGUACAAUGAAAUAAUAUGUAAACGAAGUAACUUAAGUGACAACCAGCCUGACAGGCCAUAGGAAAGCUGAGAUUGAAAGUCUAGAUGGAAUCCUUAAAACCAUUCCAGCAACAGCAGGAUUGGUCACUUGGGAAGUAUCCAAUGGCUGUGGACAUGCAGUGUGACACUGCCCAAUGUACAAAUACUCAUCUGUGUGGGUCACCCAGUAAUGAACCCCACCAAUGAAGAGGUAAACUAUCCCAAGCUUUCCUUUCUUAAGUGCAACAAGUGUAAUCAUGUGACAUAGUUCAACUAAUGCUGUAGCACAGAUGUCAUCACUCCCCUUUUAGACUUGGCUUCCAAAAUGCCUACCUACUCUCCAAAUUCUUCAUCGAAUAGAAACCCUGACUAAGUCAGUGAAGAUACAGGAGAAUUUAGGAUAUUUUUGCAGUUUAUUAAAAUGUGAAGUCGAGAAGAAAAUGUCUUUUACAGGGCUUAGCCUAUGGAAGUGAUGUAACAACAUCAUUAAGAAGAGAACCGGAAGACAAAGACACAGCUAUUAGAAUGGAACACGUGCAGGGACCGCUGGCCUUGGUGUUGAUGAAUUGGCGGAGCAGAGAGAGCUCUCCUACAUCUUGGUUAGGAACAUGAAAUGAGACAAUCAAUUUGGAUAAAGGUCUGGCUGUUUUUGUAAAACUAAGACAGAUGUAUAAUCUGUCACUCGACACAGUGAUUUUGCUUCUAGGUCCUGACACAAGGGGACAAAAAGACAUAUAGUCGAUGUUGAUUGCAGAUUUAUCCAAAAUAACUCUGAACUGGAAACAAGCCUUGUGAUUAUCAACAAGAUAAACAAAGUACAGUGUGUUCAGCCAGUGGGAUACUGCAGCACCAGAAAGGAUAAACUACUGAUUCAUGCACGCAUGGAACAAAUUCAGAUUAUUUUAUGCCUUACAAUUCCAGAGAGCACUCACUAUUCUUCACAU